rnacentral:miRNA from 1 species
AGGCGGUCCCUCAGAUGGUU